GGAGGGAUGGCUGAGCGGACGAAAGCGGCGGUCUUGAAAACCGUUAGGUGAUGAGCCUCGUGGGUUCGAAUCCUACUCCCUCCGCCA
rnacentral:tRNA from 1 species